rnacentral:misc_RNA from 1 species
AAAAAAAAAAAAAAACCUUCUUGGGGUGAAAACCAAAAAGGGCGUCCCAAGAACCAAACUGGAGGAAUAAGGAAGGGGGCAUGAAACCGCGGAUAGAGAGGCAACCGUCACGGCAAGGGACUUCAGAGAACUUGGAAUAUGGCAGUUAAAAGAUUUCAAAACCAACUAAAAGGAAUAUAUGAGAUCUAUCCUUGUACCUUUCCUUUUCCUUUGAAAGUCUAUUUUUCCUAAAGCCAUGAUAAAGUUAUACUCCAUUCCUUCUGCUUUUGUUUUUCCUGCUUACUCACUUUCUAAUACUAUCCUUUCUCUUUGACUAAUGCGCUAUUGAUUAGUUAAAUUUCUGCCAUAAGAUUUGAAUUUAAAAAUUGAUAACCUCGCGUACUUUACUAUGAGAUUUGCAGGGAAUAGCCGCCAAAAAAAAAAAAAAAAAAAA